rnacentral:rRNA from 1 species
UACGAAGGGUGCAAGCGUUACUCGGAAUUACUGGGCGUAAAGCGCACGUAGGUGGUUUUUCUAAGUCAGCUGUGAAAUCCCCGGGCUCAACCUGGGACUUGCAGUUGAAACUGGAAAGCUAGAGUAGGGUAGAGGGGUGUGGAAUUCCAGGUGUAGCGGUGAAAUGCGUAGAUAUCUGGAGGAACAUCAGUGGCGAAGGCGACACCCUGGACUCAUACUGACACUGAGGUGCGAAAGCGUGGGGAGCAAACAGG